rnacentral:rRNA from 1 species
CCCGCUGAACUUAAGCAUAUUAAUAAGGGGAGGAAAAGAAACUAACAAGGAUUCCCUUAGUAACGGCGAGUGAAGCGGGAAGAGCUCAAGCUGAAAAUCGGACGGUCUAACCGUUCGAAUUGUAGUCUAGAGGAGUGAGAUCAGUGAGUGGCCCGAGCCUAAAUCCUUUGGGAUAAGGUCGUCAUAGAAGGUGAGAACCCUGUCUAUGGCCCGGAGUCCGCUGCGUACGAUCCACUUUCCACGAGUCGGGUUGUUUGGGAUUGCAGCCCUAAUUGGAUGGUAAAUUUCAUCUAAAGCUAAAUACUAGCGAGAAACCGAUAGCGAACAAGUACCGUGAGGGAAAGAUGAAAAGAACUUUGAAAAGAGAGUUAAACAGUGCUUGAAAUUGCUGAAAGGGAAGCGAUGGAAACCAGUCGGGGCGGGGUGCAAUUACUCCAUGCCUUGUGUCAAUGGGUGUUCCUUGAGGGUAACCCUGGGUUCAUUUGUUGGUGUGGGGUGUGGACAUACUGUAACUUCGUGCGAGUCAGAAUCAAUUUGAUUCGCAGCAGAUCGCUACUGGUGCGGUAGUUUUGACUGGCCUAGCCAGCUCAUGAUGAUGACCGGUAGUGGCGCUGUGGGUCGGAUUGAAGAUGGUAAGAUGCACCUGCUUGCGGGUGUGAUGUUCGGUUGCCUGGCUUGACGAAUUAUUUAGUGAGCAUGAAAUCACUAGAUUUGGCUGUCGGUCACUGCGGCUGUUCGGUCACUGCAUUUUCAUACUUUCUGACGAAAUGGUUUCGAUCGACCCGUCUUGAAACACGG